GAUGAACGCUGGCGGCGUGCCUAAUACAUGCAAGUCGAGCGAACGGACGAGAAGCUUGCUUCUCUGAUGUUAGCGGCGGACGGGUGAGUAACACGUGGAUAACCUCCCUAUAAGACUGGGAUAACUUCGGGAAACCGGAGCUAAUACCGGAUAAUAUUUUGAACCGCAUGGUUCAAAAGUGAAAGACGGUCUUGCUGUCACUUAUAGAUGGAUCCGCGCUGCACUAGCUAGUUGGUAAGUUAACGGCUUACCAAGGCAACGAUGCAUAGCCGACCUGAGAGGGGGAUCGGCCACACUGGAACUGGGACACGGGCCAGACUCCUACGGGAGGCAGCAGUAGGGAAUCUUCCGCAAUGGGCGAAAGCCUGACGGAGCAACGCCGCGUGAGUGAUGAAGGUCUUCGGAUCGUAAAACUCUGUUAUUAGGGAAGAACAUAUGUGUAAGUAACUGUGCACAUCUUGACGGUACCUAAUCAGAAAGCCACGGCUAACUACGUG
rnacentral:rRNA from 1 species